GACGAACGCUGGCGGCGUGCCUAAUACAUGCAAGUAGAACGCUGAAGGAGGAGCUUGCUUCUCUGGAUGAGUUGCGAACGGGUGAGUAACGCGUAGGUAACCUGCCUGGUAGCGGGGGAUAACUAUUGGAAACGAUAGCUAAUACCGCAUAAGAGUAGAUGUUGCAUGACAUUUGCUUAAAAGGUGCAAUUGCAUCACUACCAGAUGGACCUGCGUUGUAUUAGCUAGUUGGUGGGGUAACGGCUCACCAAGGCGACGAUACAUAGCCGACCUGAGAGGGUGAUCGGCCACACUGGGACUGAGACACGGCCCAGACUCCUACGGGAGGCAGCAGUAGGGAAUCUUCGGCAAUGGACGGAAGUCUGACCGAGCAACGCCGCGUGAGUGAAGAAGGUUUCCGGAUCGUAAAGCUCUGUUGUAAGAGAAGAACGAGUGUGAGAGUGGAAAGUUCACACUGUGACGGUAUCUUACCAGAAAGGGACGGCUAACUACGUG
rnacentral:rRNA from 1 species